rnacentral:sRNA from 1 species
AGAACUGGGCAUCUCAAAACACCAGAUCCACUGAAGACUUCAACCUGAAAAAGGGUGAUGCUGCUGAUGUGGUCUGAUUCCCAAGCUGGAGGUAUUGGCGUGUGUCCUGCCCUAGUGCUGCUCCCUGAUGGGGAGCAUGCUCAGUUUCCUGCAUUCAGGUACGAGCAGAGACUUGGCAGGAUCUGCCCCGUUCAGAGUUGCAGGAAGAGCCCUGGAUGCCUGUCCCAAAUUGGAAUAAGUGGGAGGGAGCCACAGGCUGGUACAGAUACUGGGAAUACAGCAGGAAAUGAAACUGAAAAAAAUCCUUGCCUUCAUGGAACUUACAUUCCAGUGACUUCACCCAAAGACUCCAUUUAAAACACAAGAAAUUGAGAUACUGUCAACAAUAACUUAGCACUACUCCGCUACCUGUCAGGGCUACUUCGGCUGUUUAUACCAGAGUCAUGAAAAUGUGAAAUAACUUAAAGGCAAGAUGCAUUACUAGUAUGUAACUAAAGUGAACCGCCUGUGAUUUGCAGAGAAUAGAAGUGUGAUAGAAGUAGAUUGGAAAAGAUAGAGCAAAGGAGGAAGGCUGAACAAGGACCUGCGACAUUUUCUCAAUCAGCGAUUCCAGAAGGGGUCUCCUGAUCAUGAGCUCCAGCAGACCAUAAGGGAUAACCUUUACCGCCAUGCUGUGCCUUAUUCUGGCAGUAGAAUGCAACGAUUGUGAACAAUUGCUUGUGCUAGUCAUAUGCGGGUUCUAACAGAGACCCUUUAAAAAAACUGAAGGAAGCAGGGCAUGAUGGCUCACGCCUAUAAUCCCAACACUUCGGGAAGCCAAGGUGAGCAGAUCAUUUGAGCCCAGGAGUUUGAGACCAGCCUGGGCAACAUUGGGAGACCCCAUCUCUACAAAAAAUUACCCAGGCACAACCCGAUCUCCCAGAGAAGGAGAAGUGCCUGGCGUGGACUAUAACUUUCUGACUGUGAAGGAGUUCUUGGACCUCGAGCAGAGCGGGACUCUUCUGGAAGUCGGCACCUAUGAAGGAAACUAUUAUGGGACACCCAAGCCUCCUAGCCAGCCAGUCAGUGGGAAAGUGAUCACGACGGAUGCCUUGCACAGCCUUCAGUCUGGCUCUAAGCAGUCGACCCCGAAGCGAACCAAGUCCUACAAUGAUAUGCAAAAUGCUGGCAUAGUCCAUGCGGAGAAUGAGGAGGAGGAUGACGUUCCUGAAAUGAACAGCAGCUUUACAGCAGCCGAUUCUGGUGAACAAGACGAGCACACUCUCCAAGAAACAGCAUUACCACCUGUGAAUAGUAGCAUCAUCGCUGCUCCCAUCACGGACCCUUCUCAGAAGUUCCCUCAAUACCUACCUCUUUCUGCAGAGGAUAAUUUAGGUCCUCUACCUGAAAACUGGGAGAUGGCCUAUACUGAAAAUGGAGAAGUCUAUUUUAUAGACCAUAACACGAAAACAACAUCUUGGUUAGACCCUCGGUGCCUAAACAAGCAGCAGAAGCCUCUGGAAGAGUGUGAAGAUGAUGAAGGGGUACACACCGAGGAGCUGGACAGUGAACUAGAACUGCCUGCUGGUUGGGAAAAGAUUGAAGACCCUGUCUAUGGUAUCUACUAUGUAGACCACAUCAACAGGAAGACACAAUAUGAGAACCCGGUUCUAGAAGCCAAACGGAAGAAGCAGCUUGAGCAGCAGCAGCAGCAGCAACAGCAGCAGCAACAGCAGCAGCAGCAGCAGACAGAAGAAUGGACAGAAGAUCACUCAGCCCUUGUGCCUCCUGUUAUUCCAAACCACCCUCCAAGCAAUCCAGAGCCAGCCAGAGAAGCUCCACUUCAGGGCAAACCCUUUUUUACACGAAACCCUUCUGAGUUGAAAGGCAAGUUCAUUCACACAAAGCUGCGGAAAAGCAGUCGUGGCUUUGGCUUCACGGUGGUUGGAGGGGAUGAACCUGAUGAGUUUCUCCAGAUCAAGAGCUUGGUCCUAGAUGGUCCUGCUGCAUUGGAUGGCAAGAUGGAAACAGGGGAUGUGAUUGUAAGUGUGAAUGACACCUGUGUUUUGGGACACACACAUGCUCAAGUUGUGAAG